UACGUAGGGUGCGAGCGUUAAUCGGAAUUACUGGGCGUAAAGUGUGCGCAGGCGGCCGCGCAAGUCGAGUGUGAAAUCCCCGAGCUUAACUUGGGAAUUGCGCUCGAAACUACGUGGCUGGAGUGUGGCAGAGGAAGGUGGAAUUCCACGUGUAGCGGUGAAAUGCGUAGAUAUCUGGAGGAACACCGGUGGCGAAGGCGGCGUCCUGGACCAACACUGACACUGAGGAGCGAAAGCCAGGGGAGCAAACGGG
rnacentral:rRNA from 1 species